rnacentral:rRNA from 1 species
UACGUAGGUGGCAAGCGUUGUCCGGAUUUACUGGGCGUAAAGAGCGCGCAGGCGGUCGUUCAAGUCGCGUGUGAAAGCCCCCGGCUCAACUGGGGAGGGUCACGCGAUACUGAUCGACUCGAAGGCAGGAGAGGGUAGUGGAAUUCCCGGUGUAGUGGUGAAAUGCGUAGAUAUCGGGAGGAACACCAGUGGCGAAGGCGACUACCUGGCCUGUUCUUGACGCUAAGGCGCGAAAGCUAGGGGAGCAAACGGG